rnacentral:rRNA from 1 species
AGAGUUUGAUCCUGGCUCAGAUUGAACGCUGGCGGCAUGCCUUACACAUGCAAGUCGAACGGCAGCGCGGGGGCAACCCUGGCGGCGAGUGGCGAACGGGUGAGUAAUACAUCGGAACGUGUCCUGGAGUGGGGGAUAGCCCGGCGAAAGCCGGAUUAAUACCGCAUACGCUCUGAGGAGGAAAGCGGGGGAUCUUCGGACCUCGCGCUCAAGGGGCGGCCGAUGGCGGAUUAGCUGGUUGGUGGGGUAAAGGCCCACCAAGGCGACGAUCCGUAGCUGGUCUGAGAGGACGACCAGCCACACUGGGACUGAGACACGGCCCAGACUCCUACGGGAGGCAGCAGUGGGGAAUUUUGGACAAUGGGGGCAACCCUGAUCCAGCAAUGCCGCGUGUGUGAAGAAGGCCUUCGGGUUGUAAAGCACUUUUGUCCGGAAAGAAAUCCUCUGGGUGAAUACCCCGGGGGGAUGACGGUACCGGAAGAAUCAGCACCGGCUAACUACGUGCCAGCAGCCGCGGUAAUACGUAGGGUGCGAGCGUUAAUCGGAAUUACUGGGCGUAAAGCGUGCGCAGGCGGUGCUGUAAGACCGAUGUGAAAUCCCCGGGCUUAACCUGGGAACUGCAUUGGUGACUGCAGCGCUGGAGUAUGGCAGAGGGGGGUGGAAUUCCACGUAGCAGUGAAAUGCGUAGAGAUGUGGAGGAACACCGAUGGCGAAGGCAGCCCCCUGGGCCAAUACUGACGCUCAUGCACGAAAGCGUGGGGAGCAAACAGGAUUAGAUACCCUCGUAGUCC